CUCGUAGUUGGAUUUCUGUGGGGACGGAGCGGCCGGCCGCAACUUGCGGUUCGAGCUAGCGCUUUCCCUACAUCCUGCCGCGAACCGUGCUACCAUUAGUUUGGUGGCGCCGGGGAUCGGCUCGUUUACUUUGAGAAAAAUAGAGUGUUCAAAGCAGGCCACACGCCUUGAAUAAGUUAGCAUGGAAUAAUAAUAAAGGACUUCGGUUCUAUUUUGUUGGUGUUCGGGACUGAAGUAAUGAUUGAUAGGGACAGUUGGGGCGGUCAGUAUUCCAAAGCGAGAGGUGAAAUUCUUAGACCUUCGGAAGACUAACAGCUGCGAAAGCGUUCCGCAAGGAUGUUCCCUUUGAUCAAGAACGAAAGUUGGGGGAUCGAAGACGAUCAGAUACCGUCGUAGUCUCAACUAUAAACUAUACCAGCUAGGGAUCGGCCAACGUUAAAUUAUCCGACUUGGUCGGCACCUUAUGAGAAAUCAAAGCAUCUGGGUUCCGGGGGGAGUAUGGUCGCAAGGCUGAAACUUAAAGGAAUUGACGGAAGGGCACCACCAGCCGUGGAGCCUGUGGCUUAAUUUGACUCAACACGGGAAAACUUACCAGGUCCAGACAUAGUAAGGAUUGACAGAUUGAUAGCUCUUUCUUGAUUCUGUGGGUGGUGGUGCAUGGCCGUUCUUAGUUGGUGGAGUGAUUUGUCUGGUUAAUUCCGUUAACGAACGAGACCCCAGCCUGCUAAAUAGCGCGGUUGAGCUUUGCUCGGCACGAGCUUCUUAGAGGGACUAUGAUGCGCGAUAGCACAUGGAAGUUUGGGGCAAUAACAGGUCUGUGAUGCCCUUAGAUGUUCUGGGCCGCACACGGGCUACACUGGCGCCUGCAACGAGCAUAUCAGCUGGCCCGAGAGGGUCUUGGCUAAUCUUUUGAACCGGCGCCGUGCUUGGGAUUGACCAUUGCAAUUGUUGGUCGUGCAACGAGGAAUGCCUUGUAAACGCGAGUCAUCAACUCGCAUUGAAUACGUCCCUGCCCUUUGUACACACCGCCCGUCGCUCUACCGAUGAAUG
rnacentral:rRNA from 1 species